rnacentral:rRNA from 1 species
CAGCCGCCGCGGUAAUACCGGCGGCCCGAGUGGCGGUCACUAUUAUUGGGCUUAAAGCGUCCGUAGCCGGGGUGGGAAGUCCUCCGGGAAAUCUGGCCGCUUAACGGUCAGAAUGCCGGAGGAUACUCCCAGCCUAGGGAGCGGGAGAGGCCGAGGGGAUUCCCGGAGUAGGGGUGAAAUCCUAUAAUCCCGGGAGGACCACCUGUGGCGAAGGCGCUCGGCUGGAACGCGUCCGACGGUGAGGGACGAAGGCCAGGGGAGCAAACCGGAUUAGAUACCCGGGUAGUCCUGGCUGUAAACGAUGCGGACUUUGUGUCGGACAAGCUAUGAGCUUGUCCGGUGCCGGAGGGAAACCGUUAAGUCCGCCGCCUGGGGAGUACGGCCGCAAGGCUGAAACUUAAAGGAAUUGGCGGG